UGGACCAAAGAGUUGGCAGUAGCACAACUAGCCACAACUUCAGCCUGUCUGUAUCCAAAGGUAACGUCUAUGAAAGCUGCACAAAGUGUAGCUCGAUAUUUCGUUGGCACACUUCAGAAAUGUGCAAUUGAAAAUCUUUUAGAUAACACAAAGCUAUGUUUUCUGUCCUUCAAAACAAACUCCCCAGAACUCCUCUCUACCCACUCGCGUUCCACACUAUACAUCCAUGGUUCCACACCGCUGUCUUCCGGGAAGUCACCUC